UUCAAAGAUAGGUUUGUCAGUUUCCCUAAAGAGACGGUGUUUGACAAAGAGUUGCUCCCACAAUCGCAACGUAUCUGUGACGUCACGUGUUUGCCCGGGAGACAGCAGUAUGGCGUCUUGUCUGGAUCUUAUCAUAACAAGGUAAGUUCCCCAAAGCUAUUAAAACAUGCUCUUUAUGUUCUCUCUUUAAUGUAUUUAUGUAAUGUAAUGGUGAUGUAUUGUCUCAAUGUUUGUAACUCCCUGGCGGACAUUAUACCACAAUGUAUGCUGCGUUUAUACUGUUAUGUAUUCUGUAUCUCAAUAAAGAUCUAUUUUAAAAAAAAA